GGCAAGAUGGCCGAGUGGUUAAGGCGCUAGCUUCAGGUGCUAGUGGAGCAAUCCUCGUGGGGUAUGUUCGUUCUCCACCCCUUCCA